UCAUUAUGUGGCCCUUGAUCAAGAGACGGGGUUUCACCAUGUUGGCCAGGCUGACCUUGAACUCCUGACCUCGUGAUUCGUCCACCUCAGCCUCCCGAAGUGCUGAGAUUACAGAUGUGAGCCACCACACUUAAAACCACUAUCAUUAAUGUCAGAUUAAAAAU
rnacentral:lncRNA from 1 species